GCUCUUCUAGUAUUAAUAAUACGAAUGACUUCCAAUCAUUAGACCCUGACACCUAACCCCAGGGAAGAGCA
rnacentral:tRNA from 1 species